AUGGCGGUGUCGUCGUCGUCGUCGCGGGCGCGGGCGAGGUUGCUGGCGUGCGUGGCCGUGGCGGCGCUGCUGCUGGUCGCGCCGGGCGACGUGGACGCCGGGCAGCACGGGCGCGGGCGCGGGAGCGCGGCGCACAGGCACACCAAGGGACUGCGGCCGGGGAAGGCUGCGGGUGCGGCGGCGAGGCCGUACCCGGCGAACGCGACGGCGGGGGAGGCGAUCGAGCGGCGAUUCACGCGGUGGGUGCGGUUCAUGGGCGGCCUGGACCACAGCGUGUUCCAGCGCGCGCUCAACCGCGCGCUGCUCCCGACGACGCGCACGAUCGUCGUGGACAGGACGCCCGGGGCCGGCGACUUCACCACCAUCCAGGCCGCCGUCGACUCGCUCCCGCUCAUCAACCUGAUGCGCGUCGUCAUCAAGGUCAAUGCCGGCACCUACACGGAGAAGGUGAGCAUCUCGCCGUUGCGCGCGUUCGUGACGGUGGAGGGCGCGGGGGCUGACCGGACGGUGGUGCAGUGGGGCGACACGGCGGGCACGGCCGGGCCCUGGGGCCGCCCCUUCGGCACAUUCGCCUCCGCUACCUUCGCCGUCAACUCGCAGUUCUUCGUCGCCAAGAACAUCACCUUCAAGAACACCGCGCCGGUGCCCCGGCCGGGGGCGCUGGGGAAGCAGGGGGUGGCGCUGCGCAUAUCGGCGGACAACGCGGCGUUCGUGGGGUGCAACUUCCUGGGCGCGCAGGACACGCUGUAUGACCACCUGGGCCGCCACUACUACAAGGACUGCUACAUCGAGGGCUCCGUCGACUUCAUCUUCGGCAACGCCCUCUCCCUCUACGAGGGUUGCCACGUGCACGCGAUCUCGCCGCACACCGGCGCGCUGACGGCGCAGAACCGGCGGAGCAUGCUGGACGACACGGGGUUCUCCUUCCUCAACUGCCGGGUGACGGGGUCGGGGGCGCUCUACCUGGGCCGCGCCUGGGGCACCUUCUCCCGCGUCGUCUUCGCCUACACCUACAUGGACAACAUCAUCAUCCCGCGCGGCUGGUACAACUGGGGCGACCCAACGCGAGAGAUGACGGUGUUCUACGGGCAGUACAAGUGCUCCGGGCCGGGGGCCAACCACGCCGGCCGGGUGGACUGGUCCCGGGAGCUCACCGACGAGGAGGCCAAGCCAUUCAUCUCCCUCAGCUUCAUAGACGGCCUCGAGUGGCUCAAGUUGUAG
rnacentral:rRNA from 1 species